UACAGAGGGGGCGAGCGUUAAUCGGAAUUACUGGGCGUAAAGCGCACGUAGGUGGCGACGUAAGUCGGGUGUGAAAGCCCCGGGCUCAACCUGGGAAUUGCAUUCGAGACUGCAUUGCUGGAGUACGGAAGAGGAGGGCGGAAUUCCCGGUGUAGCGGUGAAAUGCGUAGAUAUCGGGAGGAACAUCAGUGGCGAAGGCGGCCCUCUGGUCCAGUACUGACCAUCAAGUGCGAAAGCGUGGGGAGCAAACAGG
rnacentral:rRNA from 1 species